GAAAUGGAUGUUCGUGUGGACAGGUAGGGUGUUUUUGAGUGAUUUUUGUGCGGGAAAAAGGGAAAAAAUGACUGGAAAAAAGACCCCCCCCCCCUAUAAAAUGGGGGGUAUUUUUAUGGGUGUACGUUCAUUUUAGUGAACGCUUUUUGCUUCAAAUAAACCUUUAACAGCGGUAAUAUACAUCGGAUGUCCAGGGAUGAAUGGUAUGACUGAAAGUUUCAACCAAACCUGGAAAAUCUACUUAGAUCACAUCGAAACCUUUGCAAAAGAUUACAUAAAACUGUGCUCAUAAUAAGGUAUGACAAGUGUGCAUGAGACAUAACACAGUGGGACACCGCUUUGGUCUACAUGCACAAUAGGAGAGACAUAACUGUGCCCAGUAACUGGCUUUUCCAAGGCGGUGCUCACUGUGUGCAUUUUUUUCAGGAGAAGUUUGGCAUGCCACAGGGCGAUAUUUCGAGACCAGAUUUAUAACUUUUAUGUAUUGAAGAAAUGCAGUAUAUAAGCGUCAGGAAGGAGUUCAUCUUACAUUCAUUGAUAAGUUCAAGAUGGAAAAUAACUCUGUAGUAUUCGACACAAUGGCGAAUUCCUUUAAUGCUGAGCUGAAGGAGGCAAGUCCGACACAUCACAAAGUAUCAAUCAAUGAAGUAAACAUUAGUAGACUACAUCUUGGAAUUUCAGAAGAAACUUGGAUGGAAUUAUUCACAGCCUACAUCAAGAACAGGACAAGUUUGACCUUAGACUUCUCAAACAUACCCGACAGUGAAUAUUUGAUUGAUGUGGAGUGUGCCUUACGUGAUUUUCUGACUGCAAAGAAGUGUCUGUACGUGAAGUACGAGGACAUAACAAAAAUAAGGACAGACUUGGAUAUGAAUUAUUCAACAUGGAUGUACAUGCUUAGAAAAUACAUGAGUACUUAUCAUUCUGAUAUAGAACUCGAGUGGUGUGAGCACAGUUUGGACCCAAAUUCGGAUUGUACUUGUAACAUCACGACGGAACCCAAAAUGAUGGAUGGAGCAGACAAGGUCUACGUGAACAUUUUAACAUUAUUAUUAGACCACCACGUUGUAAGAAAUUGGAGAUAGAAUAAAUAUUUUUUGCUACAUGAAUUAGCUAUGAAACAUGUAACACAGUACAGUAAAUAAAGUCUCAUACUGUUCAUUUAACAUUGUUUUGUUUUUUAUUUCAAUGAACAGUUAGAGCUGAACAAUAACCAGGAAUUUCUGGUUAUAAGUUCUCAUAUAGAAGUCUGCGAAACAACUGUGACGUUCUUGAUCAAUUUACAGCGUACACAUACUGACAGUGCGUGGCAGUCACAACUGCAUUGGACAAUAUAAAAGUAAAAAGUUCUCUCUGAGUUUUGGAGCUUUAUGGAAUAAUUUGGAGGUUUUGGAAGUAACAAAAUGAAAAGAUGGAGGAUCGGAAAAAAACUUUAUGAGAAAAUACAUCUCAGAAUGCCUGCCGUUAAAAAUUACCAAGGAUGGAGGCGAAUGCAUGAUACAGGAGCUGAAAAAAAGAGCAACAUGUCCAGACUUGCAAAAUAUUUACAAGCAUAGACUGAAGAAGUGUCAAGCAUACUGAAGUGAUGUGUGUGUGUGUUCCACAGCUGUAAAUUAUGGAAAGAAAAGCAGUGCACUGCAGUGAAUUGCACAGGCCAAGAUGUCUCAAGUUGUACAUUCAAACAGAAGUGAUGGGUGACAGGCUUUUACUAGCAACUUGUGAAGAAAAAUCAGGUAGCUAGAGCAGAGACCAGAUGUUGUGAUGGUGGUGAUGCAAACAGGGAGAGACGUUUUACAAUUGAAAUGAUAGACUCUGAUAUUUACAUGUAUUGUUUUGUAUGAUGAACUUUGUCCGUGCAAGUGGCUAUGCCCGUAAAAGAGGCACACUUUU